CGGGUGAGUAACACGUGGAUAACCUACCUAUAAGACUGGGAUAACUUCGGGAAACCGGAGCUAAUACCGGAUAAUAUAUUGAACCGCAUGGGUUCAAUAGUGAAAGACGGGUUUUGCUGUCACUUAUAGAUGGAUCCGCGCUGCAUUAGCUAGUUGGUAAGGUAACGGCUUACCAAGGCAACGAUGCGUAGCCGACCUGAGAGGGUGAUCGGCCACACUGGAACUGAGACACGGUCCAGACUCCUACGGGAGGCAGCAGUG
rnacentral:rRNA from 1 species